UAUUUAACAAAUAUAAAACAUUUUCCGUGUUGAUAUACAGUUAUAUCAACACGAGUGGAAUUGGGAAAACGAGAAAUUGUAUGGAAACACGACGCCCGAAGGGCGGAGUGUUUUCAUACAAUUUCGAGUUUUUAAUUUUCCAACUUCCACGAGUGUUGAUAUAACUAUAUAUCAAUACGGAAAAAAUGUUUUAUAUUUUUUUUAUAAUAUAGCAAUGUCAAAAGCCCGAAGGAUAAGAAAAAUUUCUGUGUUUACAAGCGGCGGAAAAUUUCCCGUGUUGACAUCGAG